GAAUGUUUUCCAAAAUAUUAUGGUAAAACAAGUAAAUAAAUAUCAAAAGUGUAAUGUUGAUCUGAUGUAUAUUAGUUUUAUAGGUUUUUAGCUAUUAUUUUUGAUCAUUUUAGUGUUUAAAUAUUACAUUUAGGCAUUAUUAGGAGUUGCAUUUGUAUAUUUUGCAUACACAUGGGUCUGGUUGUAUAAUCAGAAGUUCUAGGGCGAAAUAGAGGAGAAAACUAUAACUUUUAAAAGUUUGAGGUCACAAACGAAAAUAUCCAAAGUGGACGGACCAAUUUUACAAAAAGCUCAAAGUUGAGCAAAGCUUUGGAUCUUUCGAUCCGUGAGAGUGGAAGCGACCACUUCCCAAUUUGCAAGCUUGAUUCGUUCGAUUUGUUUGUUCUCGAUCUAAUCUUCUUCCUGACCAACAUGAAUCAAUCGUUUCUGGAAAGAUUGAUGAGCUCGAUCGUGUACACCGGCCCAUUGAACGUGACGACACAAAGAUGAUGAGGAUGAGCUCGACGGUGAUGAGAAAAGAUGACGGUGCAGAUGGUUCGAGACGGCGGAGCAGCGACGAGGAGGUCCGACGGUCUCGAGGGAGAGGAGGUCCGGCGGUCUCGAGGACGAGGAGGUCCGGCGGUCUCGAGCUCGUUUCCGUUUUGAAAAAUUAUCCAUAUAUUUUUUUUUUUAAUUCAUUUCAUUAAGGCUAGAUAAGUAAAUUAACUUGAAAGAGGCCAUAUAGAUUUUUUUAGGAUGCUAUAGAUUUGUUUUUGGCCAUUUAGGCCAUAUGAGAACUUAGUCCUUUGGACUUAUGACAUGAUGUAAUUGUUUUAGAAAGAACAAAGGUAACC
rnacentral:lncRNA from 1 species